rnacentral:rRNA from 1 species
UGAGGAAUAUUGCACAAUGGGCGAAAGCCUGAUGCAGCAACGCCGCGUGAGGGACGAAGGCCUUCGGGUCGUAAACCUCUUUUCUGAGGGAAGAGCAAGGACGGUACCUUGGGAAUAAGUCUCGGCUAACUACGUGCCAGCAGCCGCGGUAAAACGUAGGAGGCGAGCGUUAUCCGGAUUUACUGGGCGUAAAGCGCGCGCAGGCGGGUCUGUGAGUCGGACGUGAAAGCUCCUGGCUUAACUGGGAGAGGCCGUUCGAUACUGCAGGGCUUGAGGUUGGGAGAGGGGUGUGGAAUUCCCGGUGUAGUGGUGGAAUGCGUAGAUAUCGGGAGGAACACCUGUGGCGAAAGCGGCACCCUGGCCCACACCUGACGCUGAGGUGCGAAAGCGUGGGUAGCAAACAGG